GACGAAGGGGGCUAGCGUUGUUCGGAAUUACUGGGCGUAAAGCGAGUGUAGGCGGUUGCCCAAGGCAGGUGUGAAAGCCUUGAGCUCAACUCAAGAAAUGCACUUGGUACUGGGUGGCUAGAGGACCGGAGAGGAUAGUGGAAUUCCCAGUGUAGUGGUGAAAUACGUAGAGAUUGGGAAGAACACCAGUGGCGAAGGCGGCUAUCUGGACGGUUACUGACGCUAAGACUCGAAAGCGUGGGGAGCAAACAGG
rnacentral:rRNA from 1 species